rnacentral:tRNA from 1 species
GCCGGCCUAGCUCAGUUGGUAGAGCAGCUGUUUCGUAAACAGCAGGUCGCCGGUUCGAGUCCGGCGGUCGGCUCCC